GGCAAAUAUAAACUGCAAUGGCAAUAUAAUUUAAUGUCACCUGGCUAAACUGCCAGUUUGUUGAAACUUAUUGUAAAAUAUAAACUUUAUCGCCAUCUGCGUUUGAAUACACCCCUGACAAAUUGUAUGUAUGUAUUCCAGGGGAACCGCCAAAUAGUUUAUAUAGAAGGCGGAGUGAUGAUUUUUCUUUUUAUGUUAAUUGUGUAUGUUUUUUGUCUUGUGUGCAACCACUUGGGGUUUGUCAUUGAGAGGUCAUAUGACGCGCUAGGGAGGGGGAGGGAAGAUUGCGGCCAUCGAGGUUUGAGCAGAUCAGGUGUAGUGUGUGGGAACCCAUACAUAUUAUACUAAUGUCUAUCAAAAUAAUUUCUAUAAAUGCCCAGGGGUUGAAUAACCCUAUAAAAAGAGGCAUCCUGUAUAGGAAUUUAACAGAAUAUAAUAUCGAUGUAUGUUUUAUACAGGAAACCCAUUGGAAAGAUAAUGCCCAAGACCAAUGGAAAUUUGUUAAAUAUCCAAUUGUAUUAUGCGCUAACCUGAAGGGGGAAAAAAAGGGGGUAGUAGCUAUUUUGUUCAGUUAAAAUCAAGUCUGAAUUAUUAUUCAUAGAAAGAGAUCCCAAUAGUAGAUAUCUGAUAGUAAUAUGUAAAUUAAACGACAGAAUUUUUACUUUAGUAAAUGUAUAUGCUCCAAAUGAGUUUUCCCAAAAAUUUUAUACAAAGCUAUGUGAUAAGAUUGAUAAAAUUAAAAAAGGUAUACUUUUGAUUGGAGGAGAUUGGAACACUGUCUUAAACGAAAAAUGGGAUAGGAAAACAUCUAAAGUUUGUAAAAAAAAAAAAUUAUAAAACAAAUUAAAUUAAAAAAAAAAGGGCAGACUGGAUGCAAGAUAUUUUAAACCUAUACGAUCUCUAUGAUAUAUGGCGAGUUCAACAUCCAAGUGAAAAAGACUUAUCACUAAAAUUUAUCAUGGCUACUCUUGAAAUGAUUUUUUUUUCUAACUGAUUCUACAAAUUUGGUCAAUUUCAUAGACUCAAAUAUAGGCCCCAUCAGCUGCUCAGAUCAUGCCUCAAUUGAGGUUAAAACAAAAGACCAGUCUUACAAACCCAGCUAUCAAUGGAGGAUCGAUGAAACGAUUCUAUUAAACAAAGAGAAUAGUGAUCGUAUAGAUUUAUUAAUAAAGGAAUUCCUUGAGUUCAACGACAAAGGAAAUGUCUCCAAUUAAAUAUUAUGGUCAACAUUCAAAUGUGUAACAAGAGGCAAUCUAAUCCAAUUAGAAGCCGGGGGAAAAAAGAAAAAUGGUGCUGAACUUUCAGAGCUAUAUAUAAAAUUAGCUAAAAUUGAACAAAUUAAUAAAAAUAAUUCUACUAUAGAAUCAGCUCUUCAAAUUAAAACAAUUCAACAAAUAGAGUAAAACAAAUGAUUCUGUCUUGUAAACAGAAAUGGUAUUGUAAUAGUAAUAGAGUAGGGAAGAUACUGUCAAAAAAACUUAAACCUGAAAGAAAUAAACAUCCAAUAAACAAUUAUCGAAGGAACUAAAACCCUGCUUUCCCCUCAACAAAUUGGGAAUGCCUUUACAAACUAUUAUUCAGCUCUAUAUAAUUUACCAGAAAGUAAAGCUACUAAAGAAGAACUUAAUGUACUUUUUUAGUAAUAUUACUCUUCCCUUAAUCAAUCCAGAUAAAUUAAUAGAAUUAAAUAGGGAUAUAUCUUUAGAAGAAAUUCAAAUAGUUAUUAAAGGCUUAGUUAAUGGAAAGGCACCAGGUCCAGACGGCUUUACUGCCUCUUUCUUUAAAACAUUUGAACCUACAAUAUCCUCUUCUAUAUAGAUGGUUUAGAGAACUCAAUUGUACAAAAAGUAUUUCUUCUUAGUUACUAAGUGCUACAAUAACACCUAUUCCCAAACCAAUGAAAGAUACAAAUUUCAUUACAAAUUAUUGCCCAAUAUCUCUUAUAAACUUAGAUAUAAAAAUAUUAUCUAAAAUCUUAGCUAAUAGAUUGUUAUUCAGUAAAUCAGGAAUGAUUUUACUCAAUCAAUCAGGAUUUGUAAAAGGAAGACCAGGGGGCGAUAAUCUCCGGAAAAUCGCUAAUUUAAGUUUAAAGAUCAUCAAGGGAAACAUACCAGCUGUCUAUAAAAGCUUUUGACAGUCAAUUGGCAAUUCCUAGAUGCAACAAUGACAGCAUUCGGCAUUGUAGGAAACUUUAAAGAUCUAGCCAUGGCAUUGUAUACCUUUCCAAAAGCAAAAAUUUUAGGAAAUGGCUUCAAUUCACAUUGGUUCAAUAUUAGGAACAGAACACGUCAGGGGUGCCCUUUGGUCCCAAUGAUGUACGUUCUUUCUAUUGAACCUCUUGCAGCAUAUAUCAGGAAAUCUACAAUUAUUUCAGGAAUACCAACAGGUGAGACCGAACAAAAAUAACAUUAUUUGCAGAUGACCUAAUACUAACCCUUACUCAUCCAGAAAUUUUGAUUCCCUCUGUAAUGAAGUGUAUAGACAAUUUCAGCCAUUUCUCAAAUUACAAAAUAAACCUACAAAAAACCCAAAUAAUUUACAGAAAUUUAACUCAGAAUCAGAUAAAUACACUCAAAUUUAAAUAUAAAUACAAUUGGGACUCACAAACAAUAAAUUAUCUUGGUACUACAAUAAAUUUUGAUCCAGAAUUAUGGGUAAAUUUAAAUUAUUUGAAACUAUACAAAGAUUUAAAGGAUCAUAUUAAAAAAUGGGAAAGUUUAACACUCUCCUGGAUGGGUAGACUAAAUUCAAUAAAGGCAUAUUUGAUGCCGAAACUUGAAUAUUUAUUUCGAACAAUCCCAAUAAGAGUACCAAACAAAAUCUUAAAAAUGUUUGACAAAUUAUUCUAUUCUUUUGUUUGGUUUGAUAAAAAGCCAAGAAUAAGUAGGAAAAUAAUAACACACUCAAGAGAGGGAGGGUUGUCCUUCCCCAACAUACAGCUGAUCCAUAAUUCAGUCAUGUUCUCCCAUUUUUUUGGAAUGGGGUAACAUGAAAUCUAGAAGCAAAAUAUGGUAUAAACUGGAGAAAGAAGAGUGCGCUGGAAUAGAUCCCUCCUUUUUCUUUUGGCUUGAUAAUAAAAUGUUUAAAAAUCUGGGAAUAAAUAAUUGGAUUAUAUCACAAAUGUUCAAAUCAAUUGAUUCGAUAAGAAAACUUUUUUUCUUGUUCAAAUUCAAAUUUUGUGUAAAGCUCCCUUGGAAUUAAUGAAAUUAUACAUAAGAGAUCUGGAUUUAACUAAUUGGUUAAGAAAAAAAUGUUGUAAAAGUUCUAAAUAUCUUAGAAAACUUCUACAAAAUUCUAAAUAGAUAGUACUUAGUCCCUUCUAGAUUAUGUAAGUACAAGCCCCAACAUACAGACCAAUGCUGGAGAUGUAAUAGAGAAAUUGGGACUUUAAAACACAUAUGGUGGGACUGUAUUAAUUUAAGUCCGAUAAAAG